GAUGAACGCUGGCGGCGUGCCUAAUACAUGCCAGUCGAGCGAACGGACGAGAAGCUUGCGUCUCUGAUGUUAGCGGCGGACGGGUGAGUAACACGUGGAUAACCUACCUAUAAGACUGGGAUAACUUCGGGAAACCGGAGCUAAUACCGGAUAAUAUUUUGAACCGCAUGGUUCAAAAGUGAAAGACGGUCUUGCUGUCACUUAUAGAUGGAUCAGCGCUGCAUUAGCUAGUUGGUAAGGUAACGGCUUACCAAGGCAACGAUGCAUAGCCGACCUGAGAGGGUGAUCCGCCACACUGGAACUGAGACACGGUCCAGACUCCGACGGGAGGCAGCAGUAGGGAAUCCUCCGCAAUGGGCGAAAGCCUGACGGAGCAACGCCGCGUGAGUGAUGAAGGUCUUCGGAUCGUAAAACUCUGUUAUUAGGGAAGAACAUAUGUGUAAGUAACUGUGCACAUCUUGACGGUACCUAAUCAGAAAGCCACGGCUAACUCCGUG
rnacentral:rRNA from 1 species